ACCCGGGCAGUCUCCUCCAGGCGCAGGGCCAGCCCCUGCCCCACCGCACACUGCGCUGCCCCCAAGACCACACGUGUGCCGUGUGACAGCGGCUGAUCUGUGCCUGAGGCAGCGCGACCC
rnacentral:pre_miRNA from 1 species